UUUUUUUUUGGUGUUGAUGAAGAACGCAGCGCGUUAUGAUAUCUGGUGCGAAUUGCAGGACACACUGAGCACUUGAUUUUCUAACGCACAUUGCGGCCUCGGAUUAUAUUCGGGGUGACAUCUAUAUGAGAGUGGAUUUGGGAAAUAAAACACAAGAAUGCUGUACUGCAUCUCUUAAUAGAUGUAUGCAAACACUUGUGGCUUUUGCUUAUAAGCAAUAGCAAUAGAACGAGUAUGUUUCUGUGCUUGGGAAAUUGUACAUUGUAAUAGAUGUGCACCCUAGACAGGAAUUCAUAUUUUUCGUAUCUACAAAUGGAACGUACACACACUAUCACAAGAAGGUAUACUUUUUGAAUUCUUUGCAAUCUAUAAUGAAUGCAUAAAGUUUUCAUAUAAAUAUACUGAGAAUGUUGAUCUGAGUAGGUGUAAUAUACGUUCUCAUGACGGCAAAGUCAUGUAGAACAUACACAAUCUACCAAGUAGUGAGUGUUGCACAUUUAUUGUUAGCAGCGCCCCUAUCGGAUCUCAUUCAAUAAGAUGAUAUGUGUUAAAUGUAGUAGAAUGCGUAUGUGUUUA
rnacentral:rRNA from 1 species